CCCUUAGAUGUUCUGGGCCGCACACGCGCUACAAUGGCAAAGUCAACGAGCUAAUCCUAUGCUGACAAGCACAGGUAAUCUUUUCAGUCUUUGUCGUGAUGGGGAUAGACCCUUGUAAUUAUUGGUCUCCAACGAGGAAUGCCUAGUAGGCGCAAGUCAUCAGCUUGCGUCGAUUACGUCCCUGCCCUUUGUACACACCGCCCGUCGCUCCUACCGAUUGGGUGUGCUGGUGAAAUGUUCGGAUCGGCCGUUUGUCGCGGUUUCCGCGGCUCGUGGCUGAGAAGUUCAUUAAACCCUCCCACCUAGAGGAAGGAGAAGUCGUAACA
rnacentral:rRNA from 1 species